AAUCGCACGAAUCAUAGAUUCAUUAAGUUUCACUGUAGAUUCGGCACCGAUUCGUUGUAAUUUGAGAUCUUUCAGAGAUUCAAAUCGAUUUGGGGGUGAAUCGAAUCGAAUCGUAAGAUUCUAAUUGUGAAUUGUACGAUUUUGAUAACAGUUGCUAUAGCUCAUCAAGAUUCAGAACAUUAGUAUGAGAACAUGGUGUGGUGUCAUAAGUAUGUGCAACCUUUUUAUCAGGAAAUUAAUCUGUGUAGCAAACUGGUAAUUGCUAUUAGGAGGAGUGGAUAUUUACAAUUGCAUAAGUACCUGAUAUCAUCCUAUUCCAUCUCGUACAUGUGAAAAUAUGCAUUUAGAAGGGUCUUGUUUCUAAUGUGAGGCUCAUUUAUUGCCUUGAAUAUAAUAUUGUUCCAUUCGCCGUUUAUCAAUCAGAAAUUACACUUACCAAUAUUCGGUAUUCCUUAAAUUAGUAUGUCGCAUACGGUCCUCACAAAAUAUAGUGGGCAGUUGAUGGUUCGAGCAUUAUUCUUCAGAGUUUCCCAGAAAAUUGUGUCUCUGAGGUGAUGGUUUUAUGAGUUAACCUGGCCUGGUUGUCUGCUGAGUUCUUAUGGUCUUUCUAAACUUGGUGUGUCCUGUUUUAUGGUUUUUCCUUAACCGAUUCUUUUUUUCUUCUGAAUGUAACUGUAUCUUUUCAAGAAGGAAAUAUGGGAAACUCUUUUAACAAAUUUGAAGUUUGAAUUACCUUAGUCUAGAGUUUUGGUAGCAGGGACAGCUUGAAGUAGGUUCCAACUUACGUAGGACCCUUAUUAUUCGAGUCCCUCAUUACAUUCCAAGCAGCAUUUAGUUUUCAAAAUCUGAAUGUGGAUUUUGAUAUGUACUUACAUGGACAACAUAGUGGGGAAGAGGACAUGUUCCAUCAGUGUCACAAUAAAGUCCCAUUGAGCCUUGGGUGAGCUUGGUAGUAGCCCCACUUGCUUUGGCCCAACGAAAAUUAAAAUAGGCCUGAGUAGUUGAGUUACAACACUAAUUCCUUCUUACUUUACAAAUAGUUUUAGCUAUGAUCAUAUCAUGUCAUUGUAUUGGCUUGAAAGCCAUUAGGAGUUCAAAACAGUGGAAAUUUGGAUAAAACCGUGUCCAUGGAACUGUUAUUCUUUUCUUUUGAAUGGAAGGAAGAUAAAAACAAGGAACAAAUUAACGAAGGUGGCCAAACAGAACAAAGGAUUCUUCCAGUUGGCGUACAAGCUUGGUGGUAUUAAAUGCAAGUGAUAUGAUUCAAUUCUAAUCCUCCUGCCAUGCCCACCUCAAGCCAAUGUACUGUGAAAGAAAAGCAAUAGUCUCCUUGGUCAGGGAUGUGGGCCGAGGUUUCUUGAAAUCAACUGCUCUCUCUCUCUCUCUCUCUAUGAAGUGAAAGUGGUCCUAAUCAUAAUGUAUGUACUCUUUCACAAGUCUUUAUUGUGCUACUUUAUAUCAUCUUGCUCA